AUCACUGCUCGAUCUUUUGGCUAAGAUCCAGUGUAGUAUCUGUUCUUAUCAGCAAUAUCUGAUAUGCCCUCUAUUUGAGGACAAUAUAUUAAAUGGGCUUUUGGAGCAGGGAGAUGGAAUAUAAGCUUGCUCUGUCCACUCCACGCAUCGACCUGGUAUGGCAGUACCCCCGGGAACAGUGGGGGGGAA